ACCGCAUGUAGCUCGGCUUGGCCUCGUUCGCUCGCGGCGAGCGGGGUGCGUUGGCCAUCUGGGUCUGUGCGUUCCCCGUUGCUCGUGCGGUCC
rnacentral:tRNA from 1 species